GGGGGGAUUUUGCAAAAAAUAUUUUAAUUAUUAUUGCAUUUCAAUUUUCUGAACUUUUAUGAACAUUGGGUUUUUUCUGAACUUUUAUUGUUAAAAAAGGCACUGCGCCAGGAAUGGUACAUAUAUACUACUUUUGUCAUAUUUUACGGGCAACGAAAUUCACGGGAUCAGCUAUAUAGUAUCUUUUUUAUAAAAAAGACUAAAAUUAAAAUUAAAUUAAAUUAAAGGUAAACGAAUUGGAAUUUUACCGUCACCAUUGAGUUUCGAUUAAAAAUGUACGGUGAUAAUACCGUCGCCAACGACAUUAUUAUUGAAUAACGGAUAUUUGAAAUUAUAUUCUACUAGAUAAUCAACGGAUAAAAAUAAAAAUAAAAAAUGAAUAUUUUUUGACGAAUAAGAGUAUAAGAAGUCGCGGGCCUGCGUUUUAUGAUAAAAAUAACACUUUAUCAAACAACCCAAUAUUUUGAUGUAUUGAUGUAUAAUGAAUAUAUUAUGCAUAUAAUUUUUUAAUGUAAUCCCCCCCGCAUUGAAAAUUACAACGACGUAAGUUUUGUAUUAUAUAAUAUAUAAUAUUAUUUUAUUCUUAUUUUAUUAUUUGUAUUGCAUAGGGGGUCAAGGAGCGAAUGGAUAUUAUAUGAAAAAUUACCUUGAAACAACUAAUGAUGACGGGCUUCCAGAAUAUGAUGAUCCAGUAACAUAUUGUUUUCGAUGAUUAGUAAAACAUUGUUGUUAGAUUUAAUUAAUACAUAAAAAAAAUUGUUUAUGUAUAUACUUGCACUUUUAAAAUUAUGAUGGUUUAAUAUAUAAGCAAUUUUGUUCUUCAUUAGGUAAAACGAUUUUAUAUUUAUGAUUUAUAUAAUCUUAUUAGAUAUAUGAAUAACAUUGUUUUAUUUGAUAAAGCAUAAUUUUUCUAUAUUA